rnacentral:misc_RNA from 1 species
GAUGAAGAACGUAGCGAAAUGCGAUAAGUAAUGCGAAUUGCAGAAUUCAGUGAGUCAUCGAAUCUUUGAACGCACAUUGCGCCCUGUGGUAUUCCGCAGGGCAUGCCUGUUCGAGCGUCAUUUCAACCCUCAAGCCCCGCUUGGUGUUGGGCCCCGCCCGCUGUGGCCGGCCCUAAAGACAGUGGCGGCGCCGCCUGGCCCUCAGCGUAGUACAUCUCUCGCUCCAGGGUCCGGUGGCCGCCUGCCAGAACCCCCCAACUCUGUGGUUGACCUCGGAUCAGGUAGGAAUACCCGCUGAACUUAAGCAUAUCAAUAAGCGGAGGA